rnacentral:rRNA from 1 species
AUGGCCAACGGUGCCGGCUGGGGAGAGCACCACGUCCGGAUACGGCCAGCUCAUGACGGCGCCGGACGAGCAGGGAAGUCUGCUGCCCCGCCGCCGCCGCCGGAGAUGGUGCUGAAUCGCUUCGUUCGCUUGGUCGCGCUGAUCGAGAGGCUUGGCAACGCCUUGGGCACGCUGGCCUUUACCUGGGCAACUGUCGUGCUGCUCGGCGGCUACUCCAAAGACCUCAGCUUGCAGGACGAUUUUUGGUAUGCGACAGCGAUUGUAUUCCUCGAAGCUGCAAGGAUGUUCACCCGCAACAACAGAAUGGAUUACCAACUGUUCUUUAACACAAGGGGAGCUUUUAGACCUGUGGGCUGGAAUGGACUGGUUGCAGUACUAUGCUUUUUUGAUGUUUUCGUGAUCCUCUGGGAGAAAGAUUAUCUGUCUGAUAUGAUGCUUCUAUCGAUAGUAAUAAUAUUUGCAACUGGCCGAUUCCUGUCUGGGCUGAAACUGAACAUAUGCAAUCCGCUACGCCGUGCCACGUCACUGUGGAGCCCCUUGGUUGCAAUCCUACUGACGGCUCCACCUCUGUACAACGGAGGGAUAGGCCCAUUGACCAGUUGGAUUGUAUUCACAGCACUACUUGUGCCAGUGCUAUUGGUGACAAUAAGCAGGCUACGGUUCACCAGAAUCGUCAAACUAGCGGAUAGUAUUCUUGGCAGAAAACAAAAACUUUGGCGCCGAGUUUUUAUAAACUUGUGCAUGAUUGCUGCGCUAGGGAUGCAGGUGUACAUGCUACACUUAGAUCCAUUCAUGAACAUGUCCCUUAUCAUGAUAGUCCAAGUGUGUGCCUUGGUGGUGGUGUCAUUUGGCAACUUCCAGGUUCCAGCAGCAGUGUUAAGAAUCUGCCUAGCAAGCUUGAGCUUACAGCAUAGCUACAAGGAUGACCAAGAGAACCUGGCAGCAUCUCUUGAAAUCUUCUAUUGGAUGGUGCUUGGACAAGGAAUCCUUUAUGCUGUGGCUUGCAUGCUCGAGUUCUUUUCGUUCAUCCCGCGGAGGUCCCUUGUCCACUGUGGUGGAUUUAGAGGUCAGUGGGGAGUGGACUCCGUAAAUCUGUACUAUGCAUAUGCCCUAGAGAAACGCAUGCAAGAAGGUGUGCUUGCUCCAAAGAAGAUCAGCCUGAGUAACUUUGCCAUGGAUUCUCUAAACUCCAAUUCAUCCAAGAAUCAGCUCUAUGGUAUUCGGAUGAUGCACAGCUUUCUGCAAAGGGAGCCAACCAAGGCACAGCUACUUUCAAAACUCACCACUUCUACCAAGACGGUGGCCAGAAUAAUCAGGAUGUUGAAUUGGACAAGUCCAAAGGAUACAACUAUCAGACUGUAUGCCGCGAAGGUCACCGCUGAACUUGCAAAAGACCUCCAUGUUGUUACCUUCCCCGGUACAAUGCAGCUUGUAUCAGCACUUCUUGAUGCUGAUAGCAGACCGAGAAGAAGAAAUCCACUUCUGGACACAGAUGAUGAGCAAGAAGAAAGACAAGAUCAAUUUCUGAAUAGAGAAGAUAACCGGGAGGAUGCAGCUGUUAACCAAUCGCAAAGACAAGACCCACUUCAAGACACCAAUAACCUACUUGAAGAAACACAAACAUGCUCGACCCAACAACCUUUCGUCGACAAACAGAACUCUUACAUAAUCAGAUGCUGGCAGUGGAUGAAAAAAUUAUGUUCAAUUCCCAAGGAGCAGCUGUCGGCAGACCAUGAUCUUCUCCCUGCACUGGCCAUGUCGAUAAUUGAAAGUCUUGCUUGGUGUGAUCAGGAAAACUGUGUGGAAAUUAACAAUGCGGCUAACCUCAUCCCGAAAAUCAUAGGAUUCACGAGAUUCAAACAUGCCAUGAACACUGUGGAUACCGAGGCAGAACAAAAGGUCAUGUUGAAGUCAUCACUGAAGGUGCUGCAAAGACUCACAGGUAUUGGUGGGGAAAUUGGCAUAACACUUCGGUACAAGAUAUCAAAACAUCCCUUCCUAUUGAGAAACCUUUCAGAAAUCUUGAAAGACAACAGAAGCAGCCAGGAAUCGAGAAAGUUGGUGACCGGAAUCCUCAGGAACAUUGCCAUUGAUGGGAACAUAAGGCAGGACAUUGGUCGCAUUCAACUGAUCAUCACCAGGCUGAAGCAGACAUUUCUCAAUGAAGAAAAUCCCAUGAUCGCCAAUGCUGAUCACUUGUCACGGAAGGUCGCGGGGCAAGCACUGGCAAUGUUGACGACAGAAAGUGCCCAAAAUUGCUUGAUUGUGUUGCAGGAACCAGACUUCAUUAAGAAAUUGAAACAUAUGAUCUUGAUCCAUGAUGGCAAGUACAUAUAUGUGGCAGCAAGUCUGUUACGUAACCUGUGCCUGCACUCUCGACACGAGCUCAGAGAGCCGGACCUGAAGGAGCUAUCUCAUAUCUUGCGAGAGGUGUUGGAGAAAAUAAUUGACGUGGAAGGGGCAGAACUAGAGAUCAUCAUUGGCCUUAGUUCACUAAUUUGUAAAACCAUUCCUGAAGACUUUACCCAAGAACUAGAAGGCGGCCAGAUUAAGCGAAGAUUUGUGAAAAGGCUCGUCGAUGUGUUGAAUGCAAAUACGGAACCUGGCGCUAAUUGUCCUGGGAUCAGAAGGGUUAUACUUGAGCAGGUCAUUUACAUGAUGGAGUCCAAUUAUCGCUAUGCGGACUGUUUCAACGAAUUCAGGAUGACAGAAGCCCUCUCAGUCGUCGAACAAACACUGUCACACGCUGAGAACUACAAGUUCUUCUUGGGUGAUGCAGGUUUCAUGGAGUACAACACACCUAUCUCCGCUCUUGUGGUAAGAGCAAAAGAGCUUAUGUGUCGUAACUGA